UGGAAGCAGUUGUAGACUAACAAGGCGUCUAUAACAAAUGUUUUGCCCAUAAACAGCUACGGGAGAGCAGCAACUGCCGUGGCAGUUGGCGUUGCCAGUUAAAGUGCCACCGUUAGCUUCCGUUGCCACCGGGUGGUUUCACAGAAUAACGGCUCCUGUGGAGACAGCAACGGCUCGAGAUGUGGAGACAGCAGCUUAAGCGCUGGCUAGGAGGAGCAGAGGGCGAGACCUUAGAAACAACUAAAAAUGAUGAAGAUCUCAACAUCCUGCAGGCUGAUUUCAACCCCAAAGUUCUGCUGCACAGAUUAGCGUUGGCAUCAGAUGUUAAAGAAGAGGCUCCUGAAGAACAGAGUCCUGAGGUGGAGCAGCAGGAGUCAGAGCCCCUCCAAAUAAAGGAGGAACAGGAGGAACAGGCCUGUCAGAAAGGAGAGCAGUUCUUUAUGAAGGAGGAGACUGAUGCUAGCUUUCCAUUAACUGCAGCUCCUAUCAACACGUUGGCAUCAGAUGUUAAAGAAGAGGCUCCUGAAGAACAGAGUC